rnacentral:rRNA from 1 species
CACGUAGGGGCCAAGCGUUGUCCGGAUUUAUUGGGCGUAAAGAGCUCGUAGGCGGUUGGGUAAGUCGGGUGUGAAAACUCUAGCUCAACUUGGAGACGCCACCCGAUACUGCUCUGACUUGAGUUCGGUGAGGGAGUGGGGAAUUCCUGGGUGUAGCGGUGAAAUGACGCAGAUAUCAGGAGGAACACCGGUGGCGAAGGCGCCACUCUGGGCCGAAACUGACGCUGAGGAGCGAAGCGUGGGUAGCAAACAGG